rnacentral:lncRNA from 1 species
GGGAUUCCACCGCAGGACUCCGAAGAGGUGCGCCUAUGCUUGGCUGGGGCUGAGGUCACCAAGAGUCCUCUCGGAGGGACGUUACUACACGCGCUGGCGAGGCCCAGGAGUCGUGGUGCGAGGGGUACUAUCUGUGAAACGAGGGCUGCCUGUCCCAGCAGCCAGCUUUGUACAGAGACGUCCCGGAGCCACGAGAGAGUAACGGCUAACCCGGGGGAGGGGGUGGCGAGGGUGAUUCCAGGCACUUUGUGAAGAAACGAGCUAUGGCGAGGGAAGAAUCCACUUUGAAGAGCGGCCCCCGCCCUGCCCGAUACGUUACUUCCGGGGCGGGGCGGGCAGAGGGGCCCGGAUGUGCCGCCGCUUUUUAGUUUCUGAGGCGCCGGCGGUGUUCCUGGUAGCGUCAGCCUCCUGGCUUUUCCUUUUCCUGGACGCUUCAGGGCUCCGCGGCCUGCGCUAGACUGGAGGGUCCGCGUCACUCUCGCCCUCCUGCUUUCCGCGCUCUCACCCGCUCCCGCCUCCUGAGGGCACGACUUGUGGAGGAGCGCGGGCGGCGGGGCGUGAGCGAGCUGCCUCUGCCGCCAUCUUAGAGAAGGCGAGCGUGGGGUGUGCGUGGGCGCGAGUCGGCCUCCCGCGGUGCCGCCGCAGCGUGGCGCGGAGAGGUGAGGUCCAAGCGUGUCCGGCCCUCACUCCAUAACGAAAAAGCGAGGUCAUCACUCCCUAUCUACAAGGGAUGGGAGUAAGUGCCUGUAGAGAGCAAGAAAUUGCCCUGCCCGGAGGCUGAGAAAGCGCAUUUGGCGGUUCCCCUCGACGGAAGGCGUAGAGGGGCGGGGUAGCUUACACCUGCCUGCGAUACCAUCCUGUUAGUUUCUAGUUCUGUUAGUUUCAGCCCUUAAGUGCUCACCCCUCUUUAAAGACCGAACUGGGAGUUGAGCUCAAGCCCGGAUCCUGUUACCUGCCGUGCUCUCAUCCCCCGUUACUCAGCCUACUGUAGCUGAGGGUCUUGCUGUUUGUGGCUGUAUUGAGAUAGACGAAUGGCUUCCGUCUGUGUUGAAUGUUGUUAACACAACCUGCCAUCUCAAACACCCGUUGAUAAGGCACAGCCUGUAAUGCCUCAUGGUUCAAACAGACUCCUCCAAUUCUCUGCAGACUCGAGUCCAGCAGGCACAUGCCCCCAGGCCCUGCCAAUACCCAAAAUCUCCCAACAUUUGCCGCUAAGCUGCUUAACCAGGACAAUGACAUAGUAGAAGUAGAGCCUUAGGAAGUCAGUUCUCCUCUUGAGGCUUAAUUUUUGCACCUGCAAGUAAGGGAUUUGGGCCGGCAUGCGUUCACCAGCGCUAAAAUAAUACUGAGCUCAUUCUGUGUCCCAGAACUGGUGCUAAGUGUUUUACAUACAUUAUCUCAUGUAAUCCCAACAACACCAGUGUUAGGUAAUAUUCGCAUUUGAGGAAAAACAGGCCGAGAGUCCUAAAAGUCGGUGGUUUUAGUUUAUGGCUGCGUGCCAUAGAAUACAAGGUUACCUUGUUUUAGGAACCAGCUACUUUGGGUACGUUUUUAAAAGUAAUAUUGUUGCCUUUGAUAAUCUCAUGAGUUAGAGAUGUUCUUACAAUAAUAAUGUGUUGCAGUAGUGAACAGUGGUGAGCCUAGUGCUAAAGCUAAAAGGUUUCCUGACCCACUGUGGUAGUAAGGGCUUCUAGUCAGACAAAUGAUUGUGUGGUGACCAGUGUGGGUCCCAUUUGACAUACAGAUGGGAAAUGAGGUAUACGUUCCAGCUUUAUGAAAACUGGUAGUCGUUAUGAAUAUUCUCUUUAUUAUAUUUACUGAUAAAGUCCUCAUUCCUAUAAUGGUGUGUAGGGCUGUAUGUUCACACUACAUGGCUCUCUGAAUAGCUUUGUUUUUUUAAAUUCCAUUGUCUGUUAUAGUUUGCCUGUCCCGUCUUUCAUUGUCAGCUGUUGCUUUUUAUUUUUGUCAGUGAACAUAGUUCUAUUAUCCUUACCGCCCUUUUAAUUUAUUGCUCUUAAUCUGCAGGCAAGAAAACCACAUAGUGAACCUUGUGCAAAACUGUAUCUCAAGAGUAUAAAUAGGUACUUCGAGGGACUAUUAAAAAAUAAGUGCAACCCUUGUGCUAGGACAUUAUAGAAUCAGUUUUAAGCUGCUUAAAUUUUUUUUUUUUUUUUUUUUUUUUUUUUUUGCCUUACAGAUUUGGUCUUUUCCAGAGUUAGGAAUAGAUAAAUUUCCUGAAGUUAAUUCUUGAAAAUUUAGAAUUUAGAAUAUUUUCCCAUGUUUUAGGAUACUUGAUGAUGAUACAAUUCUAACCAUAUUGAGGUUAAUAUUUGAAAUGUUAGUGUUACUGCCUGAUAGGGUUUGGCUUUGUGUCCCCACCCAACUCUCAUGUGAAAUCGUAAUCCGAAAGUGUUGAAGGAGGGGCCCUGUGGGAGAUGAUUGGAUCCUGGGGGCAGUUUCUGAUGGUUUAGCACCAUCCCACUAGUGCUGUUUCAAGAGUGACUUCUCACGAGAUCUGCUUGUUUAAAAAUAUUUACCACUACCCCUCUCUCACCUGCCACAAUGUGAAGAAAGUCCUUGUACCCUUCGCCUUCCGCCAUAAUGGUAAGUUUCCGUGAGACCUCCCAGUCAUGCUUCCUGUUAAGCCUGCAGAACUGUGAGUCAGUUAAACCUCUUUUCUUCAUAAAUUACCCAGUCUCCGGCAGUUCUUUAUAGCAGUGUGAAAAGGUACAAAUACACCACCACACUGAAUCAGAUGACCAAGAUACCAGUUCAAGCUAUAGAAUCGAAAAUACGGAUUUUAUAUGCAUGUAUUGUUUAAUACUGUAAUUAGUUACAAAAGAACCCAGAAACCUUUUAACCCAUAGUUAUUGCUUGUAGGAUUUUUUUUAGCCAUUUUUUAAAGCUGCAUAGAUGCAUCUUCACAUAUGUUGCAUGUAUGUUUCAGAAAUAAAUUAUUUGCUAAGAAGUCACAGAAAAGACCCAGUAUUGGACCACUCUAACAGUUAUCACCUAUUAUAGUGCAAAACACACUGUGUGAUCAAUAAAAAAAGGUACAUAACCAAGCUAAAAUUGGGCAGACAUAGUUCCUGAAUGUAAAAUGUUCAACAUUAUCUAUUAAUUUAGAAUGUUGUGUUUUAACUUGGAUUGUUUUUUUCUCUCCGAUCAGAAUGAUUGGAAGAGACAUGGAAUAACACAUUUGUAUCUGAACUACUUGAAGAAAAAUCUGAAGCCCUGAUGAUAUAUAUAGAUUGUGUAUUUCAUAAGUUACUUUAACACAUUCGUAGUGGUAGAUUUCUGUAUUAUCUAUUAGAGUGUUUUUGCCUAUUCAUAUCUACUCCAUAUUCAAGGACUAAUAAGUUAUUUCAUUAUUAUACUUUAAAAAAGAAAGGAUGCAUAUGAAAAGAUAAAAUAGUGCUAUGUGAUAGGCUUGCUUCUGAAAAAUAGUAUGAGAGUUUGAAAAGUAAUGUAUGCUGUGGCACCUUAUUGUUGAAUUUGUGGUGAAUCUUUUUAUGAGAGAAAUCACACCUGUUUUAAAUUUUUUCAUUUGAUUAUAUCCUAUUUUCUUCAAUUGAGAGAGAGAUGUAGAGUCUUGGGUUCUCUUAUAUAAAAUGAAUGGUUUCAUUUGUACCAAUAUUUAUUGAGCACUUAUGUGGAAUACUGGAUAAUUUUAUUACUCGAUUGCUAAUUCCCUUUACUAGAUCUGAAAUUCUGUGGAUAUGUGAUAAUUAUUUAAAAAUGAUAAGAGAGUGAUAGGGGCCAAGGUAAUUCAAAACUGAACAUAAUUUGCCACUAUUCUCUGGAGCACCCUCAAGCCUCCCUAUCCCCACCUAAAGUAUGAUUUGGUUUUGAAAACAGUGCAAUAAUUUUUUCUGGUAGAUUUGUCUUUCUGUGUUUUCUUUAAGUAAUACAAACCAGCUGAUUACUCGGCAGUUCUGAAGAGUGUGUGUGGCUAUGUGUACACACGUUUGUGUGCAUGUGUAUGUCUUGGAAUUACAUUUUUACUCCAGCACAGAAAGAUGAUUAUAGAAUCAUAAGUUGACUACCUUUGCUUAACACCAAAUUACCUUUUGAUGUACACAUGCAGCUUUAAAAAAAAAAGUCUGGGGCCGGGCGUGGUGGCUCACGCCUUUAAUCUCAACACUUUGGGAGGCCGAGCGGGUGGAUCACCUGACAUCGGGAGUUCGAGACCAGCCUGACCAACAUGGAGUUACCCCAUCUCUACUAAAAAUACAAAAUUAGCUGGGUGUGGUGGCACAUACCUGUAAUCCCAGCUACUUGGGAAGCUGAGGCAGGAGAAUCGCUUGAACCUGGGAGGCAGAGGUUGCGGUGGGCCGAGAUCGCACCAUUGCACUCCACCCUGGGCAACAAGAGCAAAACUCGGUCUCAAAAAAAAAAAAAUAGUCUGGAAACAAUUCAAAUGUAUAUCAAUAGGAGGAUGGGAAGACAAAUUGUGGGCCCAGCACAAUGACUUAACACCUGUAAUCCCAACACUCUGGGAGGCCAAGCCAUGAGGAUCACUGGAGGCCAGGAGUUUGAGACUAGCCUGAGCAACAUAGCGAGACUCUGUCUUUACAAAAAAAAAUUAAAACUUAGCUGAGCAUGUUGGCACAUGCCUGGAGUCCCAGCUACUUGGGAGGCUGAGGCAAGAGAAUUGCAUGAAUCCAGGAGUUCAAGGUUGCAGUGAGCCGUGAUCACACCACUGUACUUCAGCCUGGGUGAGAGCAAGACCUUGUCUUUAAAAAGUAAAAGAGUAAAACAAAUUGUGAUACAGUCAUACGAUGGAGUAUUAUUGAGCAAGUCAAAGGAAAGGACUGCUGAUACAACACGGACAAAUCUCAAAAACAUUGCAUUUGGCAAAAGAAGCCAGACACAGAGUACAUAGCAUAUGAAUCCAUUUAUAUAAAAUUUAAGAACAGGAAAAAGUAAUCUGUGUUUAGUAUCUUCUUAUGGCAGAGGCAGUAGGUUGGGAUUUUAGUGGAAAGGAUUAUGAGGGAACAUGGUAGGAUGGUGAAAAUGUUCUGCACUGUCUCAGCUGCACUAAUGACAUAUAGCUAUUAAAAUCUAUUAAUUAAAACAAAAUUCAUUUCCACUGUCACAUUAGCUACAUUUUAAAUGUUCAAUAGCCACAUGUGGCUACUGCCUACUAAGUUGGACAGUGCAAAUACAGACUUCUGUUAUCUCAGAAGUUCUACUAGAGAGUUCUAGUCUAGACCUUGUUUUAUGCACAUGUUUACAUUUUUCAAAAUUGUAAUUAAUAUGCAUUGUAUGCCAGUAAUACCUGCCCCCAAACCCUAUAAAUCAUUAAUAGAAUUUUUAUUACUCUAUUUUAAUCUACUAAUUAGCCCAUGUUUUCCAUAAUAUUUUUGUUCAACCCUGGGGAGAAAGGAUAAAUAGUAAAAUUCUUGGCAAAUUUUCAAAUAUGUAAUUGUGACAUACAAUAGAUAGCAUUGAUUUUCCGCUCCAAAAAAUGAGUUCUGCUGCUUUAUAAUUUUGAAUGCAUCUAGAAACAAGAAAUUUCUUUUGAGGGCUUAAAGUGAACUCUAGAUGAAUACAGAAAAAAUUUUUUCUAUUGGAAUCAAGUAUCUUAAACGUGGCGAUCAUACAACCUUCUUCUAAGGUAACACUUAAGAGCGUUUUGGGAGAUUUUGGUGCUAGCUCUAUGACUAGGUUUAGAAAGUCAAAUAAGCUCGGUAGGUAACACUUCAGACUCAAGCCUUUUGGAAGUAGAAGAAAACUAAGUUUGUAAGUGAAGGAUAAAAAGACCUGAAUGAUCUCAAUUCUAAAAUUCUGAUUUUAAUGGAUUUUAAGAGAUGGAAUACCAGGUGAAUUGAUUCAAAAUAUUAAAUAUAUGUGUUUAUAUAGUACUUCAGUGAAAUUAAGAAAAAUUUUUGGUGGAGUAAGUACCUUAAUAAUGUUAAUAAAUAUUUCUACCAGUGUUUUUUAAGACCUUUGUGAACCCCAAGUAGAUUUUUACAAGACAAUGAACUUUAACUGUUAAAGAUUAAUUAUUAUAAAUGAAUCAGCAGUUCAUGUCAAUAAUAUGUGCUGGAAAGUAUUUUCUCAAUUAUUGUCAAUUAUAUAUAAAAAAUGAUUUUAUUUGAUCCAAAUUCUUUAACUGCCAAAUUCUUGUUUUCUUUCUCUCUCUCUCUCUCCCCCUCCCUCUCUCUCCCUCUCCCUCUCUCUCCCUCUCUCUCUGCCCCCUCCCUCUCUCCCCACCUUUCCCUCUCCCUCUGCCUCUCUCUCUUCCUCUCCCUCUCCCUCUCCACUUCCUCCCUCCCCUUCCCUUCCUCCCUUCCUCUACCUUUUUUUUUUCUUAUAAUGUAAUAUGUAGUCUGGAGAAAACAUCUCCCAAGUUCUGUUGGGCCAUUCUCCCUAUUGGAAGUAUACUAAUAGUAUCUGCUCACUGGAACAUGCCAUAUAUGUCACCUGCCCCACAUACUGAUAUCACAAUAAUAUGUAAAACCUUCAUUUAAAUUGUUUUUGAAUGUGUAUAUCAAUUGUUACAGCAUAUGACUGAACUUUUUUCAUCCUUAAAAAUUUUUUUAAGCAAUAUGACACAACCACUAAUGAAGAAAAAUAAAGAUUACUGAUUGACAUUA